rnacentral:rRNA from 1 species
UGGGGAAUCUUGCGCAAUGGGCGAAAGCCUGACGCAGCAACGCCGCGUGAGGGAAGAAGGCCUUCGGGUUGUAAACCUCUGUCAGGGGGAAAGAAGGCACCUGGGUUAAUAGCCUAAGGGUUGACGGUACCCCCAAAGGAAGCCACGGCUAACUACGUGCCAGCAGCCGCGGUAAUACGUAGGUGGCGAGCGUUGUCCGGAAUCAUUGGGCGUAAAGAGCGCGUAGGCGGCUUGUCAGGUCCGAUGUGAAACCCUGGGGCUCAACCCCAGGCGUGCAUCGGAAACCGGCUUGCUAGAGUCUGGGAGAGGGGAGUGGAAUUCCUGGUGUAGCGGUGAAAUGCGUAGAUAUCAGGAGGAACACCGGUUGCGAAGGCGGCUCCCUGGAACAGUACUGACGCUGAGGCGCGAAAGCUAGGGGAGCGAACAG